rnacentral:tRNA from 1 species
GCGGGCGUAGCUCAAUUGGCAGAGCACUAGCCUUCCAAGCUGGAUGUUGCCGGUUCGACCCCGGUCGCCCGCU